GGGAGGGAGGGGAGGGGAGGGGAAGGGGGCGGCGGCAUGAGUACACACCUGGUCGGUGGUUGCUCGUCUUCACCUCGGGGGCCCUCGCGAGCACUCACACCCUGCCCUCACCGACUCACCUAUGCACUUUUGUUCAUUCAAGCUGUGAGGUACAAUUUUUUUGGGGGGGGACGGGAGCACAAUUACAGCAGGAGGAUCGCCAACGACUUUGAUUAAAGUCGCUGAAAAAAAGAUAUAUUCCCCCAAAAAACUGAAAACAAAAGAGAGAGAGAGAGAGACUUCGAGAAGCGCGCGCCUUCUUCCACCUCCUGUACAUAAACCAUAUUUUUGUAUUACCUUUCAGAGUAGAAAGAAAGAAAGAAAAUUUGCAAAUGGAUGAAGGAAAAAUUCAUGAGACGUUGAUUAUAUGGAUGGAGUGAAUGUUCUUCAAGAAAACCAAUCUUUUUUUGUUUUGUUUUUUAUAUAUAUAUAUAAACAUAUAUAUAUAUAAAAAUAUAGUUUGAGAUAUUGACUCGCUGUGAGUUUCCCUUAGUUUGCCAGUAACUCCUGGAAAGGAAAAAAAAAAAAAAAGCAUCGGGGGACGGAACGGAAAACCCACAAAAAGGACUGAGGUGCUGGACGUGCUACAGUGAACUCCAAGACUGACUUGAUAAUGUUAAUUAUCAACAACAACAACAACAACAACAAAAAAAUGAAAAAAAAAAACGGAGGUUGCCGUGGCGACAAAGAGUGUUUGAUCAACAGUGGACGAGGCAGAGGAUGCUCGGCGGCUGCCUCCGGAGCUGUGGAGAGACGACGGGAUGAAGAGUAUUUGACAUUGGACUCUGGCCGUUCUUUAUUUGCUGCCCUCUGCGAGGAGGAUCUAACCGACGGCCCGACCAAUGAACCAGUUAACCCUAAACGAGUCGAACUGAACCACGAGAAACUCUUUCUUGACCUCGGGGACCGGGCGGGGCCCAUCGGCAUUAUCGGAGGGGACGGGACGGAGGAGGAGGAGGAGGAGGAGGAGGAGGAGGAAGUUCCAGGCUGAUCAAUCAAUCAAUACGUGGAUCCCAUCUGUGUUAAGUCGGGGGUGGAGUGGGGGGGGUUUGAUCGGAAAGCGUCACCCAGAUGUCAUCAUCCGCCUCGGCCUGAAACUUCUUUUUUUUUAUUAUUUUAUUUGUUUUUUUUGUUUGUUUGUUUUUAUUGGGGAGGUCCUCUAAACCAGCAGGACAGGACAGAAGACCUCCUGCCCCCGGACGUCAAAAAAGACAAAGCGCGGUGGGGGACGUGGCUGGAUUUACAUCUCAGCCGCCUGAACCCAUCCCCCCCCCGACCCCCCCCCACCCCCACCCACACACAUUUUUUUUUUUUAAUUUUAUUUUUUUUUGCAGCUUUGGAACUGGAUGAACUGAAUGAAUUGUACAAAAAACAACAACAACAACAACAACAAAAAAAACUUUAAAGCAAAACUACAUGUCACACGUAGAGUCCAAAGGAGCGGCAGACACACUACAUGCACACUUACACACCAAACGUUACAAUGGCUCCUCCUCUGGAACCAUGUCUGCACACACACACACACACAAACACACACCAGGGAUACACGAAUAUCAACACACAAGCAUCAACGCUCACCACUAUAAACGCUGAGCUUUGUAAAUAAUGUAAAAGUUUUUGAUUUUUUUUUUUUUUUUUCUCUCACAGUGUUUUUUUUUUUGUUUUGUUUCAUUUUGUUUUAUUUCUCUGUUCAACAUGCCUUAAAAUUGUAUAGUUGAGUCUGGAAUGGCUAAAUGAAAAAGAAGAAAAUGUUCUCAGCAUUUGAAGUUGGAAACCACCGGGUUUAACUGGGGGGGGGGGUAAGGGGGGGUCACAGUGAGACCGUCGUCCUGUAUAAACCUGCUUAUAUGUACAUCUGAUCUCCUUUUGAAGUUACUAGUUAACGACAGAAUAGAGCAGUUUUUUUGUUUGUUUGUUUGUUUUUGGUUUUUUUUUUGGAGGGGAGGAGGGAGGGGGGUUGAUCCAACUUUGCCGGUGGCUUUCGUCGCCCCUUUCGUUACCCUUCAAAAAUGAUUUGUCCCCGAUUUGUUCCCACUUUAGAUUAUUAUACUCGAGGUACAGGCUUCAUAAAGGGCUAAAGUCUGUGCUGUGUGGAGCUGAGCCGACUGGUGCAGAACCAGACUGACAUCCUCAAACAGAUUCAUUUUUUUAUUAUUAUUAUUAUUAUUAGUAACACUCCAGUGGACUCAAACGUUUUGGACGAUAAGAUACAAGGUACUUUUUUUACAGUUGUGAGAGGACUUUGCGAGGCUCGUGUCUAAGAGCGAACCUGCAUUAUUUUUUCUGGUUGGUUGUGACACUAAACUUUAAGUAGGGGGGGGUUCUUCACCUGUUGCGUGCUGCUCACCAUCCCUGAUAGUGCUCAAGUAGAUAGUCGUGUGUCUGAAUCUGGAGGGAAAGUCUCGUUCUGUGUGUUCAUGUCUAAUUGGAUCCGAGUGAUUAGUGUUUUAAGCCGAACCGAGAGUUCGUCGCGGCUGAUUCGCGUGCAGUUUUUAAACCCUGAUGUUGGUCGAAGUGAUCGGCGUUUUUUUUUUUUUGGUUGCAUCUGCUGUAGCGGAGCAAACUGAAGUAGCUCCCUUGAUGCCGAAUGGUUUUCCUGAAUUUCAAAUUGUUGUGGUCGGUUGCCAGAACCGGAGGCGAUGACUUAAACACGUGCCUGUUGUUUUGACAAUUUUUUUAAGAAGCUGAUGCUGUAUGGGUUUGUCCUCUUUGGUAAGUCUCUCUGUUUUACUGCACUGGAAAGGCUUUUAUAAUUAGACAAGCUGCAGUGGUGUGUUGGUGGUAAAAUAAUGAUAAUAAUAGUGAUACAGAAGCAGCCCUGGAUGUUUUGAAUGGAUCCUGUCACAGCCCGACCCCCCCCUCCGCCCCGGCCCCCCGGUCUGCUUGAGGAUAUUAAGUUGGUCAUCUGGUUAUCGUCAUUAUAGUUCCAACCUUAUUGAUAAACAAUAAUAAUAAUAAUAAUAAAAUUAUACUCCAGUCAGCUCAGCUCCUUCUGCUUAAUAAGUCUUUGAAUGUUGUUAAAAUAACAGCAUACAUGUUAUGAAACUGCUUUUUCGAAAAGAACAACUGAAAGAAGUGUAAAUAGUUUGGCUUUUGUUUGUUUGAAGAACAAAAUAAAUACUAAAUAAAUAGCAUUUAGCUGUGACCGA